AUUGAACGCUGGCGGCAGGCUUAACGCAUGCAAGUCGAGCGAGCGGCGGACGGGUGAGUAAUGUCUGGGAAACUGCCUGAUGGAGGGGGAUAACUACUGGAAACGGUAGCUAAUACCGAAUACCAUCAGAUGUGCCCAGAGGGGAUUAGCUAGGAGGUGGGGUAAUGGCUCACCGAGGCGACGAUCCAUAGCUGGUCUGAGAGGAGAACGUGCCAAACUGGAACUGGACAACGGUCCAGACUCAUAAGGGGGGAAGCAGAGGGGAAUAUUGGACAUUGGGGGCAAGCCUGAUGAGACCAUGCCGCGUGUGUAAAAAAGGCCUUCGGGUUGUAAGGAACGUUAAGCGAGGAGACGUUACUCGCAGAAGAAGCAACGGCUAACUCCGUGCCAGCAGCCGCGGUAAUUC
rnacentral:rRNA from 1 species